AUUCGCCUACGGGGCGCAGCAGUGAGGAAUAUUGGUCAACGGGCGGGAGCCUGAACCAGCCAAGCCGCGUGAAGGAAGAAGGCGCCAGGCGUCGUAAACCUCUUUUGUCGGGGAGCAAAGGCGUCCACGGGUGGGCGGAUGAGUGUACCCGAAGAAAAAGCAUCGGCUAACUCCGUGCCAGCAGCCGCGGUAAUACGGAGGAUGCGAGCGUUAUCCGGAUUUAUUGGGUUUAAAGGGUGCGUAGGCGGACAGUCAAGUCAGCGGUAACAAUGCGGUGCUCAACGCCGUACAGCCGUUGAAACUGG
rnacentral:rRNA from 1 species